AUUGAACGCUGGCGGAAUGCUUUACACAUGCAAGUCGAACGGCGGCACGGGUGCUUGCACCUGGUGGCGAGUGGCGAACGGGUGAGUAAUACAUCGGAACGUACCCAGUCGUGGGGGAUAACGUAGCGAAAGUUACGCUAAUACCGCAUACGUCCUGAGGGAGAAAGCGGGGGACCGUAAGGCCUCGCGCGACUGGAGCGGCCGAUGGCGGAUUAGCUAGUUGGUGGGGUAAAGGCCUACCAAGGCGACGAUCCGUAGCGGGUCUGAGAGGACGGCCCGCCACACUGGAACUGAGACGCGGUCCAGACUCCUACGGGAGGCAGCAGUGGGGAAUUUUGGACAAUGGGCGAAAGCCUGAUCCAGCCAUUCCGCGUGAGUGAAGAAGGCCUUCGGGUUGUAAAGCUCUUUCGGCAGGGAAGAAACGGCUUGGGAUAAUACCCCGGGCUAAUGACGGUACCUGAAGAAGAAGCACCGGCUAACUACGUGCCAGCAGCCGCAGUAA
rnacentral:rRNA from 1 species